AUUGAACGCUGGCGGCAGGCCUAACACAUGCAAGUCGAACGGAAACAUGUCUAGCUUGCUAGAUGAUGUCGAGUGGCGGACGGGUGAGUAAUGCCUAGGGAUCUGCCUUUAGGAGGGGGAUAACCAUUGGAAACGAUGGCUAAUACCGCAUAAUGUCUACGGACCAAAGGGGGCUUCGGCUCCCACCUAGAGAGGAACCUAAGUGAGAUUAGCUAGUUGGUGAGGUAAAGGCUCACCAAGGCGACGAUCUCUAGCUGUUCUGAGAGGAAGAUCAGCCACACUGGGACUGAGACACGGCCCAG
rnacentral:rRNA from 1 species